rnacentral:rRNA from 1 species
GACGAACGCUGGCGGCGUGCUUAACACAUGCAAGUCGAACGGAAAGGCCCUGCUUUUGUGGGGUGCUCGAGUGGCGAACGGGUGAGUAACACGUGAGUAACCUGCCCUUGACUUUGGGAUAACUUCAGGAAACUGGGGCUAAUACCGGAUAGGAGCUCCUGCUGCAUGGUGGGGGUUGGAUAGUUUCGGCGGUUGGGGAUGGACUCGCGGCUUAUCAGCUUGUUGGUGGGGUAGUGGCUUACCAAGGCUUUGACGGGUAGCCGGCCUGAGGGGGUGACCGGCCACAUUGGGACUGAGAUACGGCCCAGACUCCUACGGGAGGCAGCAGUGGGGAAUAUUGCACAAUGGGCGGAAGCCUGAUGCAGCAACGCCGCGUGCGGGAUGACGGCCUUCGGGUUGUAAACCGCUUUCGCCUGUGACGAAGCGUGAGUGACGGUAAUGGGUAAAGAAGCACCGGCUAACUACGUG